GAGUGGCAGACGGGUGAGUAACGCGUGGGAACAUACCCUUUCCUGCGGAAUAGCUCCGGGAAACUGGAAUUAAUACCGCAUACGCCCUACGGGGGAAAGAUUUAUCGGGGAAGGAUUGGCCCGCGUUGGAUUAGCUAGUUGGUGGGGUAAAGGCCUACCAAGGCGACGAUCCAUAGCUGGUCUGAGAGGAUGAUCAGCCACAUUGGGACUGAGACACGGCCCAAACUCCUACGGGAGGCAGCAGUGGGGAAUAUUGGACAAUGGGCGCAAGCCUGAUCCAGCCAUGCCGCGUGAGUGAUGAAGGCCUUAGGGUUGUAAAGCUCUUUCACCGGAGAAGAUAAUGACGGUAUCCGGAG
rnacentral:rRNA from 1 species